rnacentral:rRNA from 1 species
UCCGAAGGGGGCUAGCGUUGCUCGGAAUCACUGGGCGUAAAGCGCACGUAGGCGGAUUCCUAAGUCGGUGGUGAAAUCCUGGAGCUCAACUCCAGAACUGCCUCCGAUACUGAGAGUCUUCGAGUCCGGGAGAGGUGAGUGGAACUGCGAGUGUAGAGGUGAAAUUCGUAGAUAUUCGCAAGAACACCAGUGGCGAAGGCGGCUCAUUGGCCCGGUACUGACGCUGAGGUGCGAAAGCGUGGGGAGCAAACAGG